rnacentral:rRNA from 1 species
AUUGGACGCUGGCGGCAUGCUUUACACAUGCAAGUCGAACGGCAGCACGGGGGCAACCCUGGUGGCGAGUGGCGAACGGGUGAGUAAUGCAUCGGAACGUGCCCUGUCGUGGGGGAUAACACAUCGAAAGAUGUGCUAAUACCGCAUACGACCUGAGGGUGAAAGCGGGGGACCGUAAGGCCUCGCGCGAUAGGAGCGGCCGAUGUCUGAUUAGCUAGUUGGUGGGGUAAAGGCCUACCAAGGCGACGAUCAGUAGCUGGUCUGAGAGGACGACCAGCCACACUGGGACUGAGAAACGGCCCAGACUCCUACGGGAGGCAGCAUUGGGGAAUUUGGGACAAUGGGGGCAACCCUGAUCCAGCCAUGCCGCGUGCGGGAAGAAGGCCUUCGGGUUGUAAACCGCUUUUGGCAGGAACGAAACGGUGCGGGCGAAUACCCUGUGCUAAUGACGUACCUGCAGAAUAAGCACCGGCUAACUACGUGCCAGCCGCCGCCGUAAAAC